AACUGCCUACGGGACGCAGCAGUGGGGAAUAUUGGGCAAUGGGCGCAAGCCUGACCCAGCAACGCCGCGUGAAGGAAGAAGGCCCUCGGGUUGUAAACUUCUUUUGUCAGGGACGAAGCAAGUGACGGUACCUGACGAAUAAGCCACGGCUAACUACGUGCCAGCAGCCGCGGUAAUACGUAGGUGGCAAGCGUUAUCCGGAUUUAUUGGGUGUAAAGGGCGUGUAGGCGGGAAUGCAAGUCAGAUGGGAAAACUAUGGGCUCAACCCAUAGCCUGCAUUUGAAACUGUAUUUCUUGAGUGCUGG
rnacentral:rRNA from 1 species